AAACAAGAGAAAACAGUGAGUGUGAUUGGCUCUUUCUUCAGUUCCUCAAGUGUGAAAUAUAGACAUGAUGUUCUCAGAGAGGAGGGACUCAGAGUUCACAGAUCUGACAUGAUCUAAUCGUGUCUGAAAGAGACUGUGGAUGAAACGAUUCAGUCUGACUCUUCUCAGAGUGAACACUUGAACAAUGAAUCUUCAUUCACUUAUUCUGCUCUGUGUCUCAGCAGCUGCUGUAUUUGGAAAUACCAUCAAACCAGACACAACAGAUGUUGGUGCUGAUGAGGGACAAAAUGUUAAGUUGUCCUGUAGUUAUUCCUCCACUGGAGUUACAGAGUAUCUCUUCUGGUACCGUCAGUAUGGAAGAUCAAAACCUGAAUUUCUUGUACUCACCUACAGUACUGAAAAAAGCCUCAAGUAUCUAAAGUAGAUUCAAGAUUCUCUGUUAAAGUUGAAAAAAAGGAACAAAUCCACAUGGAUCUGAUCAUCUCCUCUGCUGCAGUAUCAGACUCUGCUCUGUAUUACUGUGCUCUGAGGCCCACAGUCACAGGAAACACAAGAACACUGUACAAAAACCUGUUACAAUGAGAGAAACACAGAGACAGAGAGAAAAAAUUGUGAGAAAGAACCUAGUAUACAAAUAAUUACAUAAUCUAAUGCAAGAAUAAUAAAACAUAAAACAGAAACAUUCUAAAAGUGAAUCUUUUUUUUUCUUUCAUUUGUUACACUAUGAGAUGGCGCAGUUUCAUUUAUGCAA